ACUCCUACGGGAGGCAGCAGUGGGGAAUAUUGCACAAUGGGCGGAAGCCUGAUGCAGCAACGCCGCGUGCGGGAUGACGGCCUUCGGGUUGUAAACCGCUUUCGCCUGUGACGAAGCGUGAGUGACGGUAAUGGGUAAAGAAGCACCGGCUAACUACGUGCCAGCAGCCGCGGUGAUACGUAGGGUGCGAGCGUUGUCCGGAUUUAUUGGGCGUAAAGGGCUCGUAGGUUGUUGAUCGCGUCGGAAGUGU
rnacentral:rRNA from 1 species